rnacentral:rRNA from 1 species
AUUGAACGCUGGCGGCAGGCCUAACACAUGCAAGUCGAGCGAGCGGCGGACGGGUGAGUAGUGUGUGGGGAUCUGCCCGAUUGAGGGGGCUAACUACUGGAAACGGUGGCGAAUACCGCAUAAUAUAGGAUGAGCCCAUCUGGGAUUGGCUAGUAGGUGUGGUAAAGGCUCACCUAGGACACGAUCGCUAGCUGGUCUGAGAGGAUGAUGAGGCAGCCGGGUACUGAGACACGGCCAAGACUCCUAAGGGAGGCAGCAGUGGGGAAUAUUGCACAAUGGGCGCAAGCGUGAUGCAGCCAUGCCGAGUGUAUGAAGAAGGCCUGAGGGUUGUAAAGUACUUUCAGCGGUGAGGCGUUACCCGCAGAAGAAGCACCGGCUAACUCCGUGCCAGCAGCCGCGGUAAUUC